rnacentral:rRNA from 1 species
AUUGAACGCUGGCGGCAGGCCUAACACAUGCAAGUCGAGCGGUUGACGGGAGCUUGCUCCCUGAUUCAGCGGCGGACGGGUGAGUAAUGCCUAGGAAUCUGCCUAUUAGUGGGGGACAACGUUUCGAAAGGAACGCUAAUACCGCAUACGUCCUACGGGAGAAAGCAGGGGACCUUCGGGCCUUGCGCUAAUAGAUGAGCCUAGGUCGGAUUAGCUUGUUGGUGAGGUAAUGGCUCACCAAGGCGACGAUCCGUAACUGGUCUGAGAGGAUGAGCAGUCACACUGGAACUGAGACACGGUCCAGACUCCUACGGGAGGCAGCAGUGGGGAAUAUUGGACAAUGGGCGGAAGCCUGAUCCAGCCAUGCCGCGUGUGUGAAGAAAGUCUUCGGAUUGUAAAGCACUUUAAGUUGGGAGGAAGGGUUGUAGAUUAAUACUCUGCAAUUUUGACGUUACCGACAGAAUAAGCACCGGCUAACUCUGUGCCAGCCGCCGCUGUAA